UACGGAGGGUGCAAGCGUUAUCCGGAUUUACUGGGUUUAAAGGGUGCGUAGGUGGGCAGGUAAGUCAGUGGUGAAAUCUCCGAGCUCAACUCGGAAACUGCCAUUGAUACUAUCUGUCUUGAAUUAUCUGGAGGUAAGCGGAAUAUGUCAUGUAGCGGUGAAAUGCGUAGAUAUGACAUAGAACACCAGUGGCGAAGGCAGCUUACUGCGGAUCGAUUGACACUGAGGCGCGAAAGCGUGGGGAUCAAACAGG
rnacentral:rRNA from 1 species